GACGAACGCUGGCGGCGUGCUUAACACAUGCAAGUCGAACGGAAAGGCCCCCUUGUGGGGUACUCGAGUGGCGAACGGGUGAGUAACACGUGAGUAACCUACCCUUGACUUUGGGAUAACUUCAGGAAACUGGGGCUAAUACCGGAUAGGAGCUCCUGCUGCAGGGUGGGGGUGGGAAAGUUUCGGCGGUUGGGGAUGGACUCGCGGCUGAUCAGCUUGUUGGUGGGGUAGUGGCUCACCAAGGCUUUGACGGGUAGCCGGCCUGAGAGGGUGACCGGCCACAUUGGGACUGAGAUACGGCCCAGACUCCUACGGGAGGCAGCAGUGGGGAAUAUUGCACAAUGGGCGGAAGCCUGAUGCAGCAACGCCGCGUGCGGGAUGACGGCCUUCGGGUUGUAAACCGCUUUCGCCUGUGACGAAGCGUGAGUGACGGUAAUGGGUAAAAAAGCACCGGCUAACUACGUG
rnacentral:rRNA from 1 species